UACGUAGGGACCAAGCGUUGUUCGGAUUUACUGGGCGUAAAGGGCGCGUAGGCGGCAAUUCAAGUCAUCUGUGAAAUCUCCGGGCUUAACUCGGAAUGGUCAGGUGAUACUGCUUUGCUAGAGUGCAGAAGGGGCAAUCGGAAUUCUUGGUGUAGCGGUGAAAUGCGUAGAUAUCAAGAGGAACACCUGAGGUGAAGACGGGUUGCUGGGCUGACACUGACGCUGAGGCGCGAAAGCUAGGGGGAGCAAACAGG
rnacentral:rRNA from 1 species